AGACUAUUUCAUCAAGCAAAAGGAAUUCUGGUUUGUAUAUCCUGAGUCUAUGUCUCUCAUUAGGUUUCAGGCAUUCAGUAUAAACUAAGAGUUUGUGUCUUAAGCUAUCAAUAAGCUAUUUUCCAAAUCUAGACAAAAAUGGAACCCAGGGCCAUCACUGGGAAAAGAUACAGUUCAAAUGUCCUUAACAAAUCGCCUUGUCACCUUUGUGAGCUCCCAUUGCAGAAUCAAUUCAGCUAUAUUAUCGCCUAAUACCGGUUCCUAUACAUCAAAGACCUAAAGCAGAACACAGCUUAAGCUGCAGAGACUGACUCCCCACUCCUGCUGCCCUAGGUGAAGGAUGUAAAUGGGUGUGCCUCUUGAAUUAAGAUGGAAAGCUGGCUUUAAACCACUUGGACUGAGCCAGCUUGCAGCAAACUAUGGGGGAACUGAAGAAUCAACAUGGAAGUCACUUUCAAACAUGCAGAAAUGGAUCCCACCAAUGAAAUGCAAAACAGUGGAAGGUAUUAUCUCUUGACUUUGGCAAUGGAUGUGUUGGGGAAAGGGCUCAGGCAGUGCCAGGAGCAUCAAACGGUGAAGACUAGAACCCCACAGGUGGAGGAACUGGCAGCAUAUGGAGAGGUGUGCUUGGGCCAGGUGUGGCCAGACAUAUCAAGUCCUGCAGUUGCUGUGAUCCUGCAGAGAGCUCACUCUCCAAGGGCUCAGGCUGAGCUGUCCUCCAGGUCUGGGCUUAGUAGAGAACUUGAGAGUGUCCAGGACCCAAGCACCCUCUAUUUUGCUGCUCCACCAUCUUGAGGAUGCUACACUGCAUGGUCCGAGAAGGCUCAGCACUGUGUCUACAUUCUAGUCACUAAGAGAAGGGAAGGAAGGGAGGAAGGAUAUAUAUAUAUCCCAUUCCUGUAAGUAGUAUGUAUAACAUUGCUAGCAUCUCACUGACCAGAAGUAUCACCGCAUCUCAUGGCAAAGGAGGUUAGGAAAUGUGAAAUCUUUUAAAUCUACAUAUAGCCAUGUGUCUAAUUAAAAAUUAUAUUACUAUGGAAGAAGGGAGGUAUGGAUAUUAGGAGAUAACUUGAAGACUCUGCCACAGUCAGUACCUUUAGAACAAUUCUCUUGGGCUAGUGAAAUCCCACAGAAAAGAUUCUUCCUAAAUCUUGACUAGAAAAUUAUAAGCCUAGUUGUCAGAGUUCUAGGCAUUGAAUGAGACGAAAAAUUGGGAUGGGCUAGUGCUUGUAGUGGUGACUGGGUCUCAUGAUAUAAUGUGUAAAGUUUUAUUCACUCAUGCCACACAUUAUCUCAUCCAAAGACCAGCUCUCCAGAAGCAAUCUAGAUUUUGGCUCAGGGUUUGGAGGUUAGCUGACUGGGUUCUUGAACAGUAAAUUGUUUUUCUGCAUGAGUGAGAAGGGCUGCAAAUCUAAUUUUCAACUAAUCUUUGUGUUUUCAGUCCCCUUUUCACUGCUAGUUCCAGAGAUAGUUGUCUACAGCUUCUUAGUAUAAUAGAAAUUGGGCUGCUUCUCAGAUUUCCUCACUCUUAACUUAGGAUUAAGCUUUCUCAAGUCCCCUAAGUCAUUAACCACUUAUUCAUCUGCUCUACAGCUUCUAAAAUUUUGUUUUUAUUGACUUCUCACCCAUGUUCUCUGUCUGAUAGGUUUAAACUUAAAAAAAAUUGCUUACUUUUCUUAGUGGGAAGAAACAGAAAUAACUGGAGAGAGUCAACCCAUCAUCUUUAACCUAAAAUAUAAAUUGUUCUUUACAGCCAUUUAUUUUAAUACCUCACUACUUUUAUUCUCAGAACAUCUAUUAACAUUUCCCAUGGAAAAUAAAAGACUGAUGAGAUGAUGAUGGUGAUAUGAA
rnacentral:lncRNA from 1 species